rnacentral:rRNA from 1 species
GCGACCCCAGGUCAGGCGGGGUUACCCGC